AAGCGUGGGGAGCAAAACAGGAUUAGAUACCCUGGUAGUCCACGCCGUAAACGAUGUCGACUUGGAGGUUGUGCCCUUGAGGCGUGGCUUCCGGAGCUAACGCGUUAAGUCGACCGCCUGGGGAGUACGGCCGCAAGGUUAAAACUCAAAUGAAUUGACGGGGGCCCGCACAAGCGGUGGAGCAUGUGGUUUAAUUCGAUGCAACGCGAAGAACCUUACCUGGUCUUGACAUCCACGGAAGUUUUCAGAGAUGAGAAUGUGCCUUCGGGAACCGUGAGACAGGUGCUGCAUGGCUGUCGUCAGCUCGUGUUGUGAAAUGUUGGGGUUAAGUCCCGCAACGAGCGCAACCCUUAUCCUUUGUUGCCAGCGGUCCGGCCGGGAACUCAAAGGAGACUGCCAGUGAUAAACUGGAGGAAGGUGGGGAUGACGUCAAGUCAUCAUGGCCCUUACGACCAGGGCUACACACGUGCUACAAUGGCGCAUACAAAGAGAAGCGACCUCGCGAGAGCAAGCGGACCUCAUAAAGUGCGUCGUAGUCCGGAUUGGAGUCUGCAACUCGACUCCAUGAAGUCGGAAUCGCUAGUAAUCGUGGAUCAGAAUGCCACGGUGAAUACGUUCCCGGGCCUUGUACACACCGCCCGUCACACCAUGGGAGUGGGUUGCAAAAGAAGUAGGUAGCUUAACCUUCGGGAGGGCGCUUACCACUUUGUGAUUCAUGACUGGGGUGAAGUCGUAACAAGGUAACCGUAGGGGAACCUGCGGUUG
rnacentral:rRNA from 1 species